AGUGAACGCUGGCGGUAGGCCUAACACAUGCAAGUCGAACGGCAGCACAGUAAGAGCUUGCUCUUACGGGUGGCGAGUGGCGGACGGGUGAGGAAUACAUCGGAAUCUACUUUUUCGUGGGGGAUAACGUAGGGAAACUUACGCUAAUACCGCAUACGACCUACGGGUGAAAGCAGGGGAUCUUCGGACCUUGCGCGAUUGAAUGAGCCGAUGUCGGAUUAGCUAGUUGGCGGGGUAAAGGCCCACCAAGGCGACGAUCCGUAGCUGGACUGAGAGGAUGAUCAGCCACACUGGAACUGAGACACGGUCCAGACUCCUACGGGAGGCAGCAGUGGGGAAUAUUGGACAAUGGGCGCAAGCCUGAUCCAGCCAUACCGCGUGGGUGAAGAAGGCCUUCGGGUUGUAAAGCCCUUUUGUUGGGAAAGAAAAGCAGCAGGUUAAUACCCUGCUGUUCUGACGGUACCCAAAGAAUAAGCACCGGCUAACUUCGUG
rnacentral:rRNA from 1 species